GACGUAGGGGGCCAGCGUUGUUCGGAAUUACUGGGUGUAAAGGGUUCGUAGGCGGUGUGGCAAGUCGGGAGUGAAAUCUCUGGGCUCAACCCAGAGUCUGCUUCCGAAACUGCUGUGCUUGAGUGUGGGAGAGGCGCGUGGAAUUGCAGGUGUAGCGGUGAAAUGCGUAGAUAUCUGCAGGAACACCCGUGGCGAAAGCGGCGCGCUGGACCACUACUGACGCUGAGGAACGAAAGCUAGGGGAGCGAACGGG
rnacentral:rRNA from 1 species